rnacentral:rRNA from 1 species
AACGAACGCUGGCGGCAUGCCUAACACAUGCAAGUCGAACGAGACCUUCGGGUCUAGUGGCGCACGGGUGCGUAACGCGUGGGAAUCUACCCUCAGGUUCGGAAUAACUCAGAGAAAUUUGAGCUAAUACCGGAUGAUGACGUAAGUCCAAAGAUUUAUCGCCUGAGGAUGAGCCCGCUUAGGAUUAGGUAGUUGGUGAGGUAAAGGCUCACCAAGCCGACGAUCCUUAGCUGGUCUGAGAGGAUGAUCGGCCACACUGGGACUGAGACACGGCCCAGACUCCUACGGGAGGCAGCAGUGGGGAAUAUUGGACAAUGGGCGAAAGCCUGAUCCAGCAAUGCCGCGUGAGUGAUGAAGGCCUUAGGGUUGUAAAGCUCUUUUACCCGGGAUGAUAAUGACAGUACCGGGAGAAUAAGCUCCGGCUAACUCCGUG